rnacentral:sRNA from 1 species
AGCACAGAAGGAGGAAGGACAGCACAGCCUACAGCCGUGCUCAGGAAGUUUCUGGAUCCUAGGCUCAUCUCCACAGAGGAGAACACGCAGGCACAGAGACCAUGGGGCCCCUCUCAGCCCCUCCCUGCACACAGCGCAUCACCUGGAAGGGGCUCCUGCUCACAGCAUCACUUUUAAACUUCUGGAACCUGCCUACCACUGCCCAAGUCACGAUUGAAGCCCUGCCACCCAAAGUGUCUGAGGGGAAGGAUGUUCUUCUACUUGUCCACAAUUUGCCCCAGAAUCUAGCUGGCUACAUCUGGUACAAAGGACAACUGAUGGACCUCUACCAUUACAUUACAUCAUAUGUAGUAGACGGUCAAAUAAAUAUAUAUGGGCCUGCAUACACUGGACGAGAAACAGUAUAUUCCAAUGCAUCCCUGCUGAUCCAGAAUGUCACCCGGGAGGAUGCAGGAUCCUACACCUUACACAUCAUAAAGCGAGGUGAUAGGACUAGAGGAGUAACUGGAUAUUUCACCUUCAACUUAUACCACCCUGCUCCAGCACAGGCCCAGUGAGAGAGACACACUCGGGAGCUCUCACAUAACAAAUGAAGGAAUGGAAUGAAGAAAUGAAUGAUCCAAAACCUCUUAGGGACUGGAUGUUGGAUGCAGAAUCCUAGGAGGUUCUAGCCACACCUGUCCCUUGUCCUUCAGAGGCUGACACCCAUGUUUCAUCCCC